AUUGAACGCUGGCGGCAUGCCUUACACAUGCAAGUCGAACGGCAGCACGGGUGCUUGCACCUGGUGGCGAGUGGCGAACGGGUGAGUAAUACAUCGGAACAUGUCCUGUAGUGGGGGAUAGCCCGGCGAAAGCCGGAUUAAUACCGCAUACGAUCCACGGAUGAAAGCGGGGGACCUUCGGGCCUCGCGCUAUAGGGUUGGCCGAUGGCUGAUUAGCUAGUUGGUGGGGUAAAGGCCUACCAAGGCGACGAUCAGUAGCUGGUCUGAGAGGACGACCAGCCACACUGGGACUGAGACACGGCCCAGACUCCUACGGGAGGCAGCAGUGGGGAAUUUUGGACAAUGGGCGAAAGCCUGAUCCAGCAAUGCCGCGUGUGUGAAGAAGGCCUUCGGGUUGUAAAGCACUUUUGUCCGGAAAGAAAUCCUUGGCUCUAAUACAGUCGGGGGAUGACGGUGCCGGAAGAAUAAGCACCGGCUAACUACGUG
rnacentral:rRNA from 1 species